AGGACGAACGCUGGCGGCGUGCUUAACACAUGCAAGUCGAGCGGUAAGGCCCUUUCGGGGGUACACGAGCGGCGAACGGGUGAGUAACACGUGAGCAAUCUGCCCUUCACUUCGGGAUAAGCCUCGGAAACGGGGUCUAAUACCGGAUAUGACUGCGCCAUGCAUGUGGUGUGGUGGAAAGUUCUGGCGGUGAGGGAUGAGCUCGCGGCCUAUCAGCUUGUUGGUGGGGUAAUGGCCUACCAAGGCUUCGACGGGUAGCCGGCCUGAGAGGGUGACCGGCCACGACUGGGACUGAGACACGGCCAGACUCCUACGGGAGGCAGCAGUGGGGAAUAUUGGACAAUGGGCGAAAGCCUGAUCCAGCAACGCCGCGUGGAGGGA
rnacentral:rRNA from 1 species